rnacentral:snRNA from 2 species
GUGCUCACUUAAGCAGCACAUAUACAAAAAUUGGAACGAUAACAGAGAUUUAGUAUGGCCCCUGCACAGGGAUGACACGCAAAUUCGUGAAGCAUUCCAUAUUUUU